ensembl:lncRNA
CUCCUAUCCUCCUUGUUCCCUGUCAGGAGCUGGGAAGCUUGCAAUCAUGGCUGGAAUUUUGCUUUCUUUCUCCAGAGCCCGCAGGCUGCUUCAGAGGGCCUGAUUAGCACUGUAGAUAUUCUUCAUGCGAGGCUCCUAUCAGCAAACCGAAGGCACAACCCUCAGACAACAGCCCUCAGACACCCGCCUGCCAGCGCUACAGCUGACAGGCUGUGCCAUAAUAGCUUCUCGCUGUUACAGCUCUCCCGGCUCUCCAAUUAAAACUAAAAGGAAAAAAAAAAAAAAGAAAGGAAAAAAAAAAAAGGGAGGAGAAGGGAAGAAAGGAAGCUUUCUGCAUACUAAACACUCUCUGUUCUUCAAUGUGGGCACAAGGAUAUUUCUAGCUGUUCCCCAGGAAUGGUGAGGUAGAAUUGAAGCCGGACAGCAGGAGUGGAGGCUCUGAAGGCAGUGGGCGAGCCUUUGGUUUACCCCUGGGUGCCACCAACAGCAAGCAAGAGGCUCCCCUGAGCUGGACCCCUGGGCGAGGCUGAGCCAAGGGUACCCACUGCAACAACACAAGUCCAAGAGGAGAGAUCCCAGAACAAAGUUAGAAUGGGUGCAAAGUAAAAGAAAGGGUAACAGAAUAUCGGUCAGGUCUCUGCAGUCACUUGGCCAAGAUGAAGUGAGCAGAAUGUCCUCUCACCGUGACUGUGAUGGAUAAUGCUUCUGUUUGACUUCUCCUGAAUAGUGCAUGCGCUAUUACACACUUGGAAUCCUUAUAUUCUCUGGCAGCUGUAAGAAGACUGCAAACUGUAGCUCCUCAUGUAGCCUACCAGUCUUUUUGUAUGAAGACUUGUUUGCUGAAUGUUGCCCAUCAAACAUGUGCGGUGAGACACUGGGAAUAAAACAGCGCUAUUAAGGUUGGAAAAGGUCUCUGAGAACAUCUAGUCCAACUGCCCACCUAGCAUGACGUUAUAUUGCAAUUCUUUCUUUGGCUUUUGCACAGCUUUGAAAACCUAAGCGCAGGUGAGGCAGAGAAGCACUCAGAAUUCUUUGCCCAGAGACAAUAAUAGCCACUUCAGUGCUUGGACAGACGCAAGGCUUGUGCAGAUAAGGAAGGUGACAUCCUGCCUGCUUCGUGAGAAGAGCCUCUGCUGACUUCAUACCACCCGGAAGCAGUCACUGGUUCCAGCCCCACUUCCUGCUGGGUCCUGCACCGUCCUUAAUAGCACCAGCAGGCACUUACAGGUGGGAUACAGAGCUCCUGCCCACCUGGUCCUGCUGUCAGCAACUGUCUUUUGUGGUGGCAUUGCCCUCAGCACAGAAGGUUAUACAGUAAUCUGCCUCCUAAAACUGCCACUGUUAUAGCUGGUAAAAUGGGUCCAUUUAACCAGAGCAAGUGCUGAAUUCUGCACCCAAGAAAGGGCAGUUCUGGCUAUACAUAUGGACUGGGGGGAUGAGAUGCUGGAGAGCAGCACCACAGAAAGGGAUCAGGGUGUUCUGGCUGAUGGUAAGCCAAACAUGAGGCAGCAGUGUGCCCUGGAGUCCAAAGGGCCAACCAUACCCUGGGGUGCAGCAGGCCCAGCGCUGCCACCGGGCAAGGGAGCAUCUGGGCAGUGCCCUCAGACACAGGGUUUGGGUCCUCUGUGUCCUUUCCAACUGGGGGUAUUCUGUGAUACUGUGAUCCUUUUGGGUCCCUUUCAACUCAGGAUAUUCUAUGGCUAUAUGGCUAUAAUUCUGCUUUUUUUUUUUUUUUUUUUUUAAUCAGGAAAAGGACAUUUUUUUGCACGAAAAGGAAAUCUUUGUAUUUUCAGUAUAUCCAAACCUGAUCACAUUCUUUUGAUUUCUGUGGCUAUUUCGUCAGGGUUAUACAGCCAUAUAUAACAAACCUUGUGAAACAACACUGAAUUGAAAAUGGAUCUUUGUAGAUAGAAAAAAAAAAUAAAGAAAGA